rnacentral:rRNA from 1 species
UACGGGGGGGGGCAAGCGUUGUUCGGAAUUACUGGGCGUAAAGGGCGCGUAGGCGGUUCGCUAAGUUGAAUGUGAAAACUCUGGGCUUAACCCAGAGCCUGCAUUCAAUACUGGCGGGCUAGAGUUCUGGAGGGGAUAGCGGAAUUCCUGGUGUAGCGGUGAAAUGCGUAGAUAUCAGGAGGAACACCGGUGGCGAAGGCGGCGACCUGGUCCGAUACUGACGCUGAGGCGCGAAAGCGUGGGGAGCAAACAGG